GUAGGGAAUCUUCCACAAUGGACGCAAGUCUGAUGGAGCAACGCCGCGUGAGUGAAGAAGGUCUUCGGAUCGUAAAGCUCUGUUGUUGGUGAAGAAGGAUAGAGGCAGUAACUGGUCUUUAUUUGACGGUAAUCAACCAGAAAGUCACGGCUAACUACGUGCCAGCAGCCGCGGUAAUACGUAGGUGGCAAGCGUUGUCCGAAUUUAUUGGGCGUAAAGCGAGCGCAGGCGGAAUGAUAAGUCUGAUGUGAAAGCCCACGGCUCAACCGUGGAACUGCAUCGGAAACUGUCAUUCUUGAGUGCAGAAGAGGAGAGUGGAACUCCAUGUGUAGCGGUGGAAUGCGUAGAUAUAUGGAAGAACACCAGUGGCGAAGGCGGCUCUCUGGUCUGCAACUGACGCUGAGGCUCGAAAGCAUGGGUAGCGAACAGGAUUAGAUACCCUGGUAGUCCAUGCC
rnacentral:rRNA from 1 species